AGAGUUUGAUCAUGGCUCAGAAUCAACGCUGGCGGCGUGCCUAACACAUGCAAGUCGAACGAGAAAGUGGUAGCAAUACCAUGAGUAAAGUGGCGCACGGGUGAGUAACACGUGACUAACCUACCCUGGAGUGGGGGAUAACUGAGGGAAACCUUAGCUAAUACCGCAUAAUACCCACGGGUCAAAGGAGCAAUUCGCUUUGGGAGGGGGUCGCGGCCGAUUAGUUAGUUGGCGGGGUAACGGCCCACCAAGACGAUGAUCGGUAUCCGGCCUGAGAGGGCGCACGGACACACUGGAACUGAAACACGGUCCAGACUCCUACGGGAGGCAGCAGUGGGGAAUUUUGCGCAAUGGGGGAAACCCUGACGCAGCAACGCCGCGUGGAGGAUGAAGUCCUUCGGGACGUAAACUCCUUUCGAUCGGGACGAUUAUGACGGUACCGGAAGAAGAAGCCCCGGCUAACUUCGUGCCAGCAGCCGCGGUAAUACGAGGGGGGCGAGCGUUGUUCGGAAUUAUUGGGCGUAAAGGGUGCGUAGGCGGUUUUGUAAGUCUUAUGUGAAAUCUAUGGGCUCAACUCAUAGACUGCAUGAGAAACUGCAGGGCUCGAGUGUGGGAGAGGUGAGUGGAAUUCCUGGUGUAGCGGUGAAAUGCGUAGAUAUCAGGAGGAACACCUGUGGCGAAAGCGGCUCACUGGACCAUAACUGACGCUGAUGCACGAAAGCUAGGGGAGCAAACAGGAUUAGAUACCCUGGUAGUCCUAGCCCUAAACCAUGAUUGCUUGGUGUGACGGGUACCCAAUCCCGCCGUGCCGUAGCUAACGCGUUAAGCAAUCCGCCUGGGGAGUACGGUCGCAAGGCUGAAACUCAAAGGAAUUGACGGGGCCCGCACAAGCGGUGGAGCAUGU
rnacentral:rRNA from 1 species